AGAGAUGUGUGAUGACGCAUAUCAAUAAGCGGAGGAAAAGAAACUAACUAAGGAUUCCCUCAGUAACGGCGAGUGAAGCGGGAAGAGCUCAAAUUUGAAAUCUUCAAGGUUUUACCUUGACGAAUUGUAGUUUAAAGAAGUGUUUUCUGUUGGUAGUUUUGGUAAAAGUUCUUUGGAAUAGGACAUCAUAGAGGGUGAGAAUCCCGUAUUUGACCAUUACUUUCCAGCUUUGUGAUACACUUUCAAAGAGUCGGAUUGUUUGGGAAUGCAGUCCAAAAUGGGUGGUAAAUUUCAUCUAAAGCUAAAUAUUGGCGAGAGACCGAUAGCGAACAAGUACCGUGAGGGAAAGAUGAAAAGAACUUUGAAAAGAGAGUUAAACAGUACGUGAAAUUGUCAAAAGGGAAGCGUUUGACACCAGUGUUGUUUUCUCGAAAAUCAAUUCAUGAUGGCUUGAUGCUAGGUUGUUAAGACUUUAUCAGCUUACUGUCUAGUUUUCUUGUCUUUGUGAAUGCACUUUUCGUUUAACAAGUCAACAUCAAUUUCUUUUGCUGUAAAAGGGUAAGAGGAAGGUGGCUUCAGGCUUCGGUUGAAGUGUUUAUAGCCUUUUACCUCUGCAGUCGGAGAGAUUGAGGUCUGCAGCGUAGACUCUUCGGGGUUAGAUACAUUUGUGCUAAGUUAUAGCUUUUCAUAGACAACUUGUUGACUAUGUUUAGUCUUGUAGCUUACUCGCUUAUGCUAUUUUACCUACGCUUAGGAUGUUGAAGAUGUAGCACAUCAU
rnacentral:rRNA from 1 species